AUAAUUUCCUAUCUUGAUGAUAUUUUUUAGUAAUAAAAUUAAUUUAAAUCCAUUAUAAAUCUUAUUUUUUAUAUAAAUAAGUAAAAAGACAUGAGAUUCUUUUUCAUGCUUCUUCUAACUACUAACCAACAUUUAUAGUUUUCUUAUAAGAAAUACAUAUAGAUAGAAAGAAAAUAUAAAUAUUGACCUUAAUAAAUAAUCCUUAAUAUUAAAUAAUAAAUAAAUAUUACUAAAUCAACUAAGAUAAUUACUUCUAAGACUUACUAAGACUCCAUUUCUACAAUUAACAUUAUAAUUUUCUAUUUGUU
rnacentral:lncRNA from 1 species